AUCAAGGGGUGGUUCCACUCUCUCCACGGUGGGGGAGAAUCAGAAGUAUGGUGGUGGUUCUAUGGUAGGGAGAUGUGUAGACGGUGCCACAGGAAAAGGUGUAGGGAAGAGGCGCACGUUGCUCCUUCUUCCUUCCUGAUGCUUUGCUUGUGUCUCUUCCUGAAUAUUUUUCUUUUUGUGUUGCUCGAAAUAAAUAAAUCGGAUUUAACCGUUUGAGUCAAAGUUUGAGCAUAAUAAAUAAAGAGACAAAUCAAUGGGGCUGUCGAGUCGGCGGUCGCUGUUUGAUGUCAAGAAAGAGCUCGACCUGCUCAGAUUCAGCUAUCUCGAUGUCGUCGCCGACAACGGCAUCCUACUGCGAUAACGCCAUUAUGCGAAUUCGAGAUUUGCAUAUUUCAGAAAGUGCUGCACAGGAAAGCAUAAACAACUCUGGUCGCUCUGCGCAACGAGAGCGUUGUAGCUUCCUCGUCAGAAGAGUUACACGCAUGGAAGAUUUACGGAGAAUCCAACGGUUUUCCUUUUCCCUUCCUCCACCUUUUUUUCACUUUUUUCUCCCUUCGUUUUUUUGCUAACUUUGUUAUUUUUUUUCUUUGUUUUUAUUAUUUUUUUUUUUUUUAGGAAACCUCUUCUUACACUUUGUAUUCAGACAUAAAUGCAUGGUGACGCGAAAUGGAAAUUGGUUGAAUACCUUCAGAUGAUCAUUUCGGUAUGGAGGACGAAAGAACCGGUCCAACAAUUUUGUUAAACUGAAACUUGCGGUUUUCGGAUUGAAUCCUAACUAAUAUUUGGAUAACCAUCUUUCGACAUAUUAAUUGAUGCAUCUUGAAAUAGUUGUUAAUUAAUUCAAAGAAUCCUGAACAACGUAUUAAAGUCAUUGAACAAAAGCUGAGAAAUCAAUUGUUCUUGGACCUAAAUAACAAAACUCCAACAUUAAUAUCUAAUAUCUUAACAAGCAACCAUUUUAAUAAACUCGUCACACUGCACGAGCCAAGAGCUAAGACGGAGGACCUUUCCAACUUGAAUUUCAAUUUUCACGCGAUAGUCCAUAAAGCAUCCGAAAAAGAAGGAACGCCGAGAUCGGUUAAGGAAUCGCUGGGAAAGAUCUUAUGGAACGAAAAACGCGUUUGCCGUCGAAUUCCAGCGAUCAAGCGAAAAGAAAGGAAGCCGGAUGAUAUACCGGUGGAUCCACGUUCCACGCCGGAUAUUUACGUGUAGCCCGAUGGCCGAACUGCUGUCGAACAUCGGGUUUUACAGCGUCGAGCAACGGCGUAUCGUGGACAUCAUCGAGAGCCAAGGAUCCGGCGACUGGUUACACGCAAGUAGAUGGAUGAAGGUGGCUGGAACAAGGUGGCGGCUGAUGGGUGUAAAUUCGAGAUACGAUCUUCUCUCUUCUGUGUCCCUUUCCAAACGGAUUUACCGACUGCUGCGCAUUCUGCCUGCUUGGUUUUACUUGGUUUUUAAUUAUCCCCAGGGUUUCCGAGACAAAGGCGUCGCCGCCGUUGUUAGCCAGAUAUGAUGCAUUAGAGAAGUUGAAGAAGAAUUUUAGGAAUGAAUCGAUUCAAUGUGUAAAUGUGUUUUCUGAAUUAUUUGAAAGAAAUUCGAAAACGAUGAAAAAUGGAGAAGAAGAUCCUUAUCUCCGCGUCGGGACAAAUUAGCACCCCGACUGUGUGUUCGGUUGAAACCUGUUCGCUGGAAUCUGCAAAUUACCUUUUCUGCCGCCUCGAUAUAAAGGACGCCGGACAUUCGGAAUGGUGCGAGCGAGCCUUUUACGCCAGCGAUCUUGCACGAGUGUUGCAAGUACAAAUGAGCGAAUUUACGUUUCGACUGUUGCUGUCGAUGCAUGUUAAGGAAGUAGCAAUACAUUUUGCAAUUGAUAAUCUUGAACGAGUCGAAAAACACGACUAAAGUGACGAAUGGCAAAUCUUUUGAGAACGAUGAUCUUUUUAGCCAAGAGAAAAGAUAUAAAAACAUUGUUAUUCGCACGAUCAAUGUAUCAGUUGACGCACUUUCCAACAGUAUUCAUGCUUCCAAUAUUUUUAUUAAAGCGAAGAUUUUGACAUAGAAUCAAUCCAUGGCAGAAAAUAUUUAUAAUGUCAUCUUAUUUAAAUUGGGCGUUUUCUUAGUCACUUUAGAUGAACCAGUUUUUUUCUUAAUGUUGAACUGAAGAUUACGAUCUUUACCAGAGUGAGAUAUAUUAUUUAUCGGAAUCGAAUAAUCAUGUUUACUAUUCUUGUAAUUUCCUAUAAUUUCGAAAUAGAAGAAUUCGAAAUUAUAUAUAACUAUCAGUACAAUCCUAUACUAUAUUUGUACUC